ACCAGCGCCGCCACCACCACCACC
rnacentral:siRNA from 1 species